rnacentral:rRNA from 1 species
UACGGAGGGUGCGAGCGUUAAUCGGAAUUACUGGGCGUAAAGGGUGCGCGGGUGGUUUAAUAAGUUAGGUGUGAAAUACCUGGGCUUAACCUAGGGAGGUCAGCUAAGACUGUUAGACUAGAGUAUAGGAGAGGGUAGCGGAAUUCCCGGUGUAGUGGUGAAAUGCGUAGAUAUCGGGAGGAACACCAGUGGCGAAGGCGGCUUCCUGGCCUGUUCUUGACGCUGAGGCGCGAAAGCUAGGGGAGCAAACGGG